rnacentral:tRNA from 1 species
GGGUGAUUAGCUCAGCUGGGAGAGCGUCGCCCUUACAAGGCGAAUGUCGGCGGUUCAAAUCCGUCAUCACCCACCA